AUUGAACGCUGGCGGCAUGCCUUACACAUGCAAGUCGAACGGUAACAGGUCUUUCGGGAUGCUGACGAGUGGCGAACGGGUGAGUAAUACAUCGGAACGUGCCUGGUAGUGGGGGAUAACUACUCGAAAGAGUGGCUAAUACCGCAUGAGAUCUAUGGAUGAAAGCAGGGGACCUUCGGGCCUUGUGCUACUAGAGCGGCCGAUGGCAGAUUAGGUAGUUGGUGGGAUAAAAGCUUACCAAGCCUACGAUCUGUAGCUGGUCUGAGAGGACGAUCAGCCACACUGGGACUGAGACACGGCCCAGACUCCUACUGGAGGCAGCAGUGGGGAAUUUUGGACAAUGGGCGCAAGCCUGAUCCAGCAAUGCCGCGUGCAGGAUGAAGGCCUUCGGGUUGUAAACUGCUUUUGUACGGAACGAAAAGUCUUGGGUUAAUACCCUGGGAUCAUGACGGUACCGUAAGAAUAAGCACCGGCUAACUACGUGCCAGCCGCCGCGGUAAGAC
rnacentral:rRNA from 1 species